UUGAAUAAACUUGGUUGGGUUGCUGCUGGUUCUUCGGAACAUGUGCACACCUGGCGCCAUUUUUACCACCUGUGCACCUUUUGUAGACCUGGAUAUCUCUCGAGGAAACUCGGUUUGAGGGCUGCUGUGCGCAAGCCAGCUUUCCUUACAUUUCCGGUCUAUGUUUUUAUAUACCCUAUCAGAAUGUAACAGAAUGUCAUUAAUAGGCCUUGGUGCCUUUAAAUAACAUA
rnacentral:misc_RNA from 1 species